GCUGGGCAUGGUGGUGCAUGCCUGUAAUCCCAGCAACUUGGGAGGCUGAGGCAGCAGGAUCAUAAGUUCAAGGCCAGCCUCAGCACCUUAGCAAGAUCCUGUCUCAA
rnacentral:sRNA from 1 species